rfam:Oryza sativa (indica cultivar-group) chromosome 12, whole genome shotgun sequence.
AACCGCACUAUCAAUGAAUGGAUUCACCCGUGAUAUGAUGUGGUUGUUCCACUUAGGAUGAGGACGUGGCUCCUAUUAUCAACCAUUGCACGAAAUUAAUAGGAUGCCACGUUCUCAUCCUAGGUGGAACAACCAUAAUAGGAUGCCACGUCUUCGUCCUAGGUGGAACAACUACAUCAUAUCACGGGUGAAUCCAUUCAUUGAUAGUGUGGUU